rnacentral:rRNA from 1 species
AGCGCAGGCGGGAAGACAAGUCAGCUGUGAAAAACUAUGGGCUUAACCCAUAGAGUGCAGUUGAAACUGUUUUUUCUUGAGUGGAGUAGAGGCAGGCGGAAUUCCGAGUGUAGCGGUGAAAUGCGUAGAUAUUCGGAGGAACACCAGUGGCGAAGGCGGCCUGCUGGGCUUUAACUGACGCUGAGGCUCGAAAGUGUGGGGAGCAAACA